AAUCUUACUUAAAUACUCUAAGGGCGCAACAAUCAUUUAUUAGGCACCGGAAUCCGAUGUCACCCAUUCGGUUGUACAUGAAAGACUAGUUUUCAGUAUGGAUGCCAAGCUUGCUAUUUUGCUUUCUUUGUUCGCGUGUGUGCUCAACAGCAUCGGCCAGGCGAUCCCUUACUGGCUUGUUGCCUCAAUAUCUGAAGCCGGACUGUCCGCCAGCGUCAAUAUGGGUCUAUGGUCAGUGUGCGUCCAUUGGGACAUUCCGGGUGCGAAUAUUGACAAGUGUCUCGCCCAGUGGGAUAACCGCGACCAUUCUGUCCCCAGAUACAUUAUAGAGGCGGGGUACAUUGAGAUCGGGGCCUCAAUCCUGAUGUUCAGCUCAACAAUAUAUGGAGUCGUACGGACUGUCAUACACACCCCAACAGUCGUUUACACCACGAGAGAAUCAGGAGUCAUAUGCAUCUUAGCAGGUAUUAUGGCUCUAGCGGGGUGCAUAGUGUUCGCAUCCGAGACCAUUGCGGGCUAUUACUAUCACGUGGGGUUCGCGUUGUGUAUCGUGGCCGGAUUGAUAAGCAUAAUCAGCGGGAUACUUUACUUGUUAGCUAGAAAGGACACGCAGGACAUGCAGGACAUUCAAUUCACGCGGUUCGCUUGAAAACUUGUGAAACUAGUGAAUUUGCGCUAUUUAUACUUAACUAUAUAUUCAUAUAGUUUUGUUCAUCCAGAAAAAUACUAUUUAACUACAAUUUUUAGUUGAUCGAUGUAUAAGAAUGUAUAAUGUCAUUGUUAACAUGCGUUUUGGAGAGCCGUUGUAUAUUCUAUUUUGUUACAUAAAUUUCUCUUUCAAUUUUUUGGUCAAGCAUUAAGGUUUCUUUUUUUUAGUUGACACAUCUAUUUUGAAGUUAGUUGUCGCUUCAUGUAUAUUUUCUUCACUUAAAUGAAAAUGGAAACUUAUGAUGAGUUACGGGCUGGAUUUUAAAAGUGGCUAUAUCCGGGUGCAGGAUUAACGGUUUUUCAGGGGUUUUCACACGGGCUGAACAGAAUAAAAACACACCGUUAAGAACUUAAUAAGUAUUGAAAUACAUUUAAAAAAAUAUUUUGUGCAUAAAAGACUGUUUUUCUUCCAGUGUGUGCCGAUAUCUUAAGAUUUAAGAAUAAAUGCUUAAAUACGUCUGAAAUCGGUGCCAAACGUUCACGUUGCGUGAAGCAUAAGCGCGUACAUGAAUGCUGUACACAGGCCAAGAACACAAGGCUUAUUAAAUAACGUUAUUCUGAUGUAUUUCAUAUCGCCAUAAGCAGCAUAAAAAGUGUCUUUAUGAAGUUGAAAUUCUUACCGGUGUGUUAAAAUCCAUACAGGUUUAAUUGUGAACCCCACAACGUCACGUGAGUCUGCACCCUGUAUAUGCUGAUCGAGUUAAAAAUCGAUAAAUAAAACGCUUAUUAACAUAAAUCGUAACAUUAUUAUCUUACAUUUAAAUAAGAAAUCGACUUUGCAUGAACGGUCUUAAUAAUAUUUCUCAGAUACCAAAAAGUCCUUGCCUUUCCAUUAAAGAGCCAUUGCUACAUACUACUUAAUGAUUUUUCAUUGACCUCAUCGCGAUGAAUUAUGUUUUCUUGAGAUUUCACACAAGGUGUUUCGCCCGACCAUAUGUACUGUAGCAGCUUUAAUAACAGGAGUUUCUUCAAGAGGAAUGCCUUAUUUCAUGUCUUAACCUGCACUAAUAGACAAACAUAUUAUUAUUACAGGCGAUUUAAAGUGAUAUAAGUCGCAUCUAGCAUUAUAUAGGUGUCUAUCGCAACCGUUGUUAAUUUUUGGUGUUUUCACUUCACAUACACUUAUAUUUGUUAAUGCAGCAUCAACAUACUAAAACAAUAUCCCGGAAAGAGAAAAAUGAUAAUGCAUUUGAAUAUCAACCGUACUUUCGUUUUGACGUAUGUUUUGGUUAGUUCAAAAUCUAGUGCACACCGCGGAAACUUAUGACAAUUCUGAAAUUGUGAAUAAAUUUACCUUCGUGUCUCUCUCAACCACAUCUUUGGCCAUACUUCUUCAAAGAUAUGUUAUAAAUGAGGUGUCAGUGAAUUGACUUAAAGACUCAAAUCGUUUCGCUUUCGUAAAUACGCGGCAGUUCCGCUCGGCUAGUUAAGCUUACAGGACUGGGUUAGUCACGUAAACUAUCGAAUAUAAUAUAUAUGUUUAUAAACAACUGGUAGCAAGAUGAGUUUCAGAUAACAUUCAGUUACCACAUUUUAACUAACUCUUUUGACCUGUUUAUUCUCUUCAGCUAAAUUCAACAGUGAAAAAUGCGUCUAAUAUCACUCUAAACUUCCACCUGACAUUUAAAACGUCUCAUAUUCAUCCUCAAUUAAAAAGCACAUUGUAGAUAGAAUUACCUUAAACGCGUAUUAAAAAUGUCUUUAUUUCAAAGAUUGUAGAAAGGGUAGUCAGUAGUCGUCUACAAGAUAAUUUGACACAGAAAAAUCUUCACGAAAAACAUGUAUAGUAGCUCGGAGAAUUAGCAUAAAAAUCUUGCAAAUCUGUAAGCAAGCAUGAAAUUUUGCAUGAACACUCAGUUUGAUAUGCACUUUUGAUAGAAAUCGUUAGCCAUUCAAAAAUUCAAAAUGGCGGUCAUUUUCUAGAUGGCCGCCAUUUCCGAUUCAGAGAAUCUUUAAUUCUCAUGUUUGUAUUUUAUGUAUUAUUUUAUGAAUACAACAUGUUUGUUGAUUGUGUUUGCACCAUGAUACCGAAA